ensembl:lncRNA
GUCACAUCCUCUUUCCGUUGCUCCUCUCGCUUUGAGAAACUUCUCCUCACGAUGAGAGCCAAGGUGAGUAAACCAUCAAAUAUCUGUUAUUUGUGAUUUAUACUCUUCCUGUUUCACUCAAUGUUGCUCACUAGCAUCCGAAUAGCACCACCUCGGCCUCUUUGUCGUAUAUUCACUGCAAAUGUUUAUUUAACCGUGCCCUGUCAUGCUUACGUUUUUAAAUGUAAAUCUGACCUUAAAGUAAAUUUAAAACUUUUGAAAUUGGGAAAUUUAAUGCCACUGCGCACGGAAGGCCCUCUUUCGUUGCAUGUGCUAAUGGUCGCAAUGGGAACGUCCACACUCCGAUGUGUUUAUGGCCACAGUUCCACUCUAAGUGUUUGACUAACAUUAGUGUUCACUUCAUUUCACCGUAGUACCACUUCAGUUGAAUUCUGCGUAGUUUGUGUGCAGCGUGCUGUUAAGCGGGUGCGCCGGAGUGGCGCACGUGACUACAGUUUUUGUAUUAUAAUAAAUAUCCAUCUUGUCUUUCAGUGGAGGAAGAAGCGUAUGCGCAGGUAAGAAUUAUUGAUCAGCUUUUCCUUUUUAAAAUGAAUGCCUGGCUCGAGUUUUAUUAACUUCCAUUGAAAGUAAUUGUUUCAGUUUACUCCUAAAUGAUGCACUAUCGUGCAUUUAACGCAAGCAAUUCAUCGAUGCCUCUUGGCAUUCUGGAACUUUCAACAUAAUUUCUAACUGAAACAUUGCUGUCAUAACGUUGGAUGUUUGCAGCGCUGAGGACAUUUAAAUGUUAAGUGACUUAUCACUGACCGUCAAAAUAACGGGUGCAAAUUAUUGAGAUUCUAAUAUUAUAUGCCCACCCGAUGCAGGAUCUGAGCCCAUACUGAAAAUCUACAUGGCAGUUGCAAGCCUCACACAUUCUUGUGCCCGUUUUUUGACAUGUGAAAGAUCAAUCUUGUAUUUUAAAAUCUUAUUCCCUUGAUAAUUAGUCUUAUUCCACAAGCUUCAAAGGCCAUGUGUUCAUGACUGCUGCUUCUCAACAGGCUGAAGCGUAAAAGGAGAAAGAUGAGGCAGAGGUCCAAGUAGAUCUUCUCCCUGCCAGCUGUGAUUCCCGUCGGCGCUUCUCCAGUUGACUGACUCUGGUUUAAGUGGAGCCUCCAUCAGUGGACCCGAAGCCCAAGCCGUGAUUUCUGAUGACUGCGCAUCUCAUGGACACUUCUGUGGAUGGCUGAUUGGAAAAGGCAAAGACGCUGGACUAUCGACAUAAGAACAGCAGCUACAUUGUUCACGGAUCAUUACACAUAUUUACCAACUGUCAUGUGGUGAUGAACAAUAAACGAACACUGUUUAAAACUUAACACUGUUAACUCUUGAUUCCAACUAUUUACCUAUUGGUAAAGCUCUUGUUUGACUGGCAGUAUGAAAAAUUGGCGUUGCCAGUUCUAGAUUGAGUCGCCCUUGCAUUUGUAAACUUGAUACAAGGGGCGACACUAAACAUUAGUUGGUAUUCUGUAUACAUAGUCCAUACUUUAGUCAAUGUACAGACUGGCUAAAUUUAAAUGUCAACCUAGCUUUUAAUGGUAACUUCUAAUUUAGAAUAACUGAGGCUUACAGCAGGGAAACUAGCUUGGCAGUCUUUAAGCUCUUUUGCCAAUUUGGCUUUAUCCCAUGGUGUGUUGAUCAAACAAAUAUUGGGUGCCUUAAAAAUCCUUCUCUUGGAAUCAAUUAUAAAUCCCUGGAUUUCCC